GCGCCGCCGUCGGAGUGGCGGCGCUGGAGUGCAGAGGUGGUCGGAGACCAGCCUGAUAUAAAACAAGCAAACGCAUCAAAUAAAAAUAAAAAGAAAAGGUUCGAUGCAUACCUGGUGAAUACAGCCGUCGAUGACCGGAGUAGUGGACGACUGUCGGGGAGGUAGUCGCCGACGGUGAACGGAGUGGAUACCGAGGCUGCAUGUCGACGGGGAAGGCGGCCUCGAGGUGCUGAUGGUGG
rnacentral:misc_RNA from 1 species